UACGUAUGGUGCAGGCGUUAAUCGGAAUUACUGGGCGUAAAGCGUGCGCAGGCGGUUUCUUAAGUCAGAUGUGAAAGCCCCGGGCUUAACCUGGGAACUGCGUUUGAAACUGGGAGACUUGAGUGUGGCAGAGGGGGGUGGAAUUCCACGUGUAGCAGUGAAAUGCGUAGAUAUGUGGAGGAACACCGAUGGCGAAGGCAGCCCCCUGGGUUAACACUGACGCUCAUGCACGAAAGCGUGGGGAGCAAACAGG
rnacentral:rRNA from 1 species